rnacentral:lncRNA from 1 species
CCGAGCUCCUCUCUAUCUUGCUAUUCCGACCAACCAUCUCGCUAAUUCAAAUCUUGAGGGCGGUCUGGCCAUCUAGCCUGGAACGCGGGAUUGACCUCAAACAUGACUUCAACCUCAGGCGUACACCUAUCCGACUUCGCGAUUUCAAUCCCGAGCUUGAGUCCGUCGACUAUUAUGCAUGAGCUGAUUUCUUCAUGUGGUUCAAUGUCCAGCCGAGCCUUGCGUAAGAAGUCGACCAUCUUUGCCCAGUUCGUGGCGAUCGAUUCUCC